GGGGCGCUGCGUGUUUGCUGCGGAGGCGCCUUCGCUCUGGGAACUUGUUCUGUCACCGAGUGCGCCGGGCUGGCCGCUUUGACCCUCUUGGUAUCGGGUGGGCGGCAUCUUGGGUGGCUGGGGUCUGGGACGCCACUUUUCUGGACGCUCCUCGGCUAAGAAGAAGGGCGCGGUUGGAAACCACAUCCCCGAAAGGUGGAAAGACUAUCUCCCAGUUGGACAGCGGAUGCCUGGGACUCGGUUCAUUGCUUUCCAAGUUCCUUUGCAAAAGAGUUUUGAAGAGAAACUUGCUCCAGAAGAACGCUUUUCCCCUUUGAAUCGUUUAAACAAAACCCGAGAACAAAAUGACGAACUAGGACUGAUAAUUGAUUUAACAUAUACUCAACGGUAUUAUAAGCCAGAGGUAAACAGAACCCUUCAUUGAAAAGAACUUUCUUCAUUCUAAUACUAAAAAAGUUCAUGGUAAUUCAGCAAUAAUUCAGAAGUUGUCAUCUUGUGCUAAUGUUAAGGCCGGCCUUCUUUCCUGGGUGAUAAUUUUAAUAAGGGAACCAAAUGGUUUCCUUAAUUAAAUAUUUUUAAUUGCUGACUUAAAUGAGAAUGGAGACAUGAAUUGAGGUAUAAUAUUUGUCAGUAGGCUGUUGGUGUGGUUAAGAAAUUUUAUUAGCGUCCACAUUCAUUAUUUUGAAAAUGCAGUAGAUUUAGUAAGACUAGUAGUGGCCUGAAAGGAAAGAAAAGAAUACGUUGUAUGUCUUUAGCACUUAUUUCAAGCAGUUGCCUGAGCAUAUGUAAGCAUCAUGGUAAAUGAAAGACACUUGUCCUCUAAGUUUUAUGCUUUCAUUUCCUAAUAUCUUUUCAUAUAAUAAGGAAACCUAUGUAUUCUGCUGGCCCCAUGUGGCGUAUCAGUGGGAAAGAAUUAUCCUCCUGACCAGUUUCAUGGCCUUUGGAACAGUAACACCUAAUGUUUCUUAGCACUUGUAUUUGUAUAGCAGUUUGCCAUUUAAAAAGUACUUUCACAUGUAUUAAUUUAGUUAAUCUUCACAAUAAUCCUAUGCUGAUGAAAUAGCAGCAGUAUUAAUGUCUCCUAUUGGGUACUUAUUCUGCACUAAAGUCAGAAGAGAGAUGAUUACAAUUACUAAACAGUUUUUGCUGUUUUUGAUAAAACCGAGACUCAAAAAAGGAAGAAUUAAAACUUGAGUUCAUUGUCUCUCUUGUCCUUUUUUAUUGUGGUAAAGCAUCCAUAAUGAUAUUUAUCAGUUUAGUCGU